AGCAGCCGCGGUAAUUCCAGCUCCAAUAGCGUAUAUUAAAGUUGCUGCAGUUAAAAAGCUCGUAGUUGAAUUUCGGGGUCAAUAUGUUGGUCGUGCCUUGGUACGUACUAGCUUAUUGAUUCUCCUUUCUGACGAACCAUGAUGUCAUUAAUUUGGUGUCAUGGGGAAUCAGGACUGUUACUUUGAAAAAUUAGAGUGUUUAAAGCAGGCUCGCGCUUGAAUACAUUAGCAUGGAAUAAUGAAAUAGGACAUUUGAUUCUAUUUUGUUGGUUCUAGGAUCGAUGUAAUGAUUAAUAGGGAUAGUUGGAGGCAUUAGUAUUCAAUUGUCAGAGGUGAAAUUCUUGGAUUUAUUGAAGACUAACUACUGCGAAAGCAUUUGCCAAGGAUGUUUUCAUUAAUCAAAACGAAAGUUAGGGGAUCGAAGACGAUCAGAUACCGUCGUAGUCUUAACCAUAAACUAUGCCGACUAGGGAUCGGAUGAUGUUAAUUUUUUAAUGACUCAUUCGGCGCCUUACGGGAA
rnacentral:rRNA from 1 species